rnacentral:rRNA from 1 species
CCUACGGGAGGCAGCAGUGGGGAAUAUUGCACAAUGGGGGAAACCCUGAUGCAGCGACGCCGCGUGAGCGAAGAAGUAUUUCGGUAUGUAAAGCUCUAUCAGCAGGGAAGAAAAUGACGGUACCUGAGUAAGAAGCUCCGGCUAAAUACGUGCCAGCAGCCGCGGUAAUACGUAUGGAGCAAGCGUUAUCCGGAUUUACUGGGCGUAAACGGAGCGUAGGGGGUCUGCCAAGUCUGAUGCGAAUUACCAGGGCUCAACCCCGGGGCUGGAUGUGAAACUGGCAGGCUGGAGUGCCGGAGGGGCAGGCGGAAUUCGUAGUGUAGCGGUGAAAUGCGUAGAUAUGAGGAGGAACACCAGUGGCGAAGGCGGGCUGCUGGACGGUGACUGACGCUGAGGCUCGAAAGCGUGGGGAGCAAACAGGAUUAGAUACCCGGGUAGUC